rnacentral:lncRNA from 1 species
CCCAGCAGAUGAAAGGUUAGAGGAAAACACACGUCAGCAGAAUCUAGCCUUCGGUCUCAGCAUGGGAGAGAGGAGAGGAGCCGCGCUGCAAACCUCCCUGAUCCUGUGGCUCCGCUUUGUGCAUACCGCAGAUCACACACUUAUUUGAAGCCUCUCCUAAGGCCUGGCAGACAUACUCCACACUGGGGGAAUGCAGUAUAAAUCCUAGGAGAGAUCGGCCUUUUACUUCAAAAUCUUCAAGCAGCUCAAAGAGAAGGUAGGAUAAAGAGGAAUGUUUGCACAGUCUCUUUGCAAAUCAAAUCUUUAACAUCUUGC